rnacentral:rRNA from 1 species
UGAGUACGAGAUGCUACGGCAUUGAAGCAGUCUAUGUCAUACUUCCAAGAAAAGCUUGCACUGUCAUAAACAAAGAAUGCCUGUACCAUAACCGACACAGGUGGGUAGGUAGAGUAUACUAAGGGGCGCGAGAUAACUCUCUCUAAGGAACUCGGCAAAAUGACUCCGUAACUUCGGGAGAAGGAGUGCCUUAUUUUUAAGGUUGCAAUAACAAGAUCCAAGCAACUGUUUAUCAAAAACACAGGUCUCCGCUAAGUCGUAAGACGAUGUAUGGGGGCUGACGCCUGCCCAGUGCCAGAAGGUUAAAGAAGUUGGUUAGCAUUCGCGAAGCUGAUAACUGAAGCCCUGGUGAACGGCGGCCGUAACAAUAACGGUCCUAAGGUAGCGAAAUUCCUUGUCGGGUAAGUUCCGACCCGCACGAAAGGCGUAAUGAUUUGGAUACUGUCUCGGAGAGGGACUCGGUGAAAUAGACUUGUCUGUGAAGAUGCGGACUACCUGCACCUGGACAGAAAGACCCUAUGAAGCUUUACUGUAACUUGAAAUUGAAAUUGGACUUUAGUUGCGCAGGAUAGGUGGGAGGCGUUGAGAAUAUUCUUGCGGGAGUAUUGGAGCCAUCAGUGAGAUACCACUCUUCUAAUGUUAGAUUUCUAACUUUGUAUCAUUAUCUGGUCAAAGAACAGUUUCAGGCGGGCAGUUUGACUGGGGCGGUCGCCUCCUAAAGGGUAACGGAGGCGCACAAAGGUUUCCUCUGAACGAGUAGAAAUCGUAUCUAGAGUGUAAAGGCAUAAGGAAGCUUGACUGUGAGACCUACAAGUCGAGCAGGGACGAAAGUCGGUCUUAGUGAUCUGACGGUGCUGAGUGGAAAGGCCGUCACUCAACGGAUAAAAGUUACUCUAAGGAUAACAGGCUGAUCUCCCCCAAGAGUUCACAUCGACGGGGAGGUUUGGCACCUCGAUGUCGGCUCAUCGCAUCCUGGGGCGGUAGUACGUCCCAAGGGUUGGGCUGUUCGCCCAUGAAAGCGGUACGCGAGCUGGGUUCAGAACGUCGUGAGACAGUUCGGUCCAUAUCCGGUGUAGGCGUUAGAAUAUUGAGAGGAGCCUUCUCUAGUACGAGAGGACCGAGAAGGACAUACCUCUAGUGUACCAGUUAUCGUGCCAACGGUAAACGCUGGGUAGCUAUGUAUGGAGUGGAUAACCGCUGAAAGCAUCUAAGUGGGAAGCCCACCUCAAGAUAAG